rnacentral:rRNA from 1 species
GACUCUCGGCAACGGAUAUCUCGGCUCACGCAUCGAUGAAGAACGUAGCAAAAUGCGAUACUUGGUGUGAAUUGCAGAAUCCCGUGAACCAUCGAGUUUUUGAACGCAAGUUGCGCCCGAAGCCAUUCGGUUGAGGGCACGUCUGCYUGGGCGUCACGC